rnacentral:antisense_RNA from 1 species
CUUCAGCGACCCCAGGCGCAGCGGACGGUCGAGCGGGCGGUCCUGACCGUAGGUGGCCAGCAGCGCGGACGCCUC